CCAGAUGCUUUCGAGACAGAUAAAGGUUUUUCAUUUAUAGUUUAAUCUAAAUUAGAAUAAAGAAUCCCAUCUAAUUGGAGACUAUUUAUGAUGUGGUUAAGAACUUUCUAGAUGUUGUGGAGACAGAUAGACUUUAUUCCUUGACAGUUUGAGUCAUAAUAUCAUAUCUAAUUAAAGCUAAUGUGGAGCGCCAGCAGGUAGCCUAGUGGUUAGAGUGUAGGGUUAGCAGGUAGCCUAGUGGUUAGAGUGUAGGGUUAGCAGGUAGCCUAGUGGUUAGAGUGUAGGGUCAGCAGGUAGCCUAGUGGUUAGAGUGUAGGGUCAGCAGGUAGCCUAGUGGUUAGAGUGUAG
ensembl:lncRNA